rnacentral:rRNA from 1 species
UACAGAGGUCUCGAGCGUUAGGCGGAAUCACUGGGCUUAAAGCGUGUGUAGGCGGAGUUCUAAGUACCUUGUGAAAUCCCACGGCUCAACCGUGGAACUGCUUGGUAUACUGGUUCUCUUGAGGUACCUAGGGGCGAGCGGAACAAGUGGUGGAGCGGUGAAAUGCGUAGAUAUCACUUGGAACGCCAACGGUGAAAACAGCUCGCUGGGGAUGUGCUGACGCUGAGACACGAAAGCCAGGGGAGCGAACGGG